rnacentral:rRNA from 1 species
UACGUAGGGGGCAAGCGUUGUCCGGAAUCAUUGGGCGUAAAGCGCGUGUAGGCGGCCAGGUAAGUCCGUUCUGAAAGCCCGGGGCUCAACCCCGGGAGGCGGAUGGAUACUGCUUGGCUCGAGUCCGGAAGAGGCGAGUGGAAUUCCUGGUGUAGCGGUGAAAUGCGCAGAUAUCAGGAAGAACACCCGUGGCUAAGGCGGUUCUCUAGUACGGUACUGACGCUGAGACGCGAAAGCGUGGGGAGCAAACAGG